UACGGAGGGUGCAAGCGUUAAUCGGAAUUACUGGGCGUAAAGCGCACGCAGGUGGCUGAGUCAGUCGAUUGUGAAAGCCCUGGGCUUAACCUGGGAAUUGCAGUCGAUACUACUCAGCUAGAGUAUGGGAGAGGGUAGUGGAAUUCCCGGUGUAGCGGUGAAAUGCGUAGAUAUCGGGAGGAACAUCAGUGGCGAAGGCAGGUCUCUGGGCCGAUACUGACGCUGAGGAGCGAAAGCGUGGGGAGCAAACAGGG
rnacentral:rRNA from 1 species